AUUUUGAGGGUUUCCUGUUUCAGAUUUUGGUCUUUCAUCCAUUUUGAAUUUCUUUUUGUGUAUAGUGUAAGAAAUUGGCUCAGUUUCAUUCUGCA